GUGUUAUCAUCGGAUUCGUCGCCGGCUGCUACGGCUGCCGCUGCGGUGGUGCUAAGGACCACCAAGUGUACAACGACACCGGAGCUUCUGGAAGAGAACGAACGGUUGAGGAAAGAGAAUGCACAAUUGAGCCAAGAAUUAAAUCGAUUGAGGAGCUUAUGUAAUAAUGUAUACAAUCUGAUGUUGAAUUACACGGGGAAUCCGUCGGAGACGCCAGCAGGAAUUCCAGAAGGAAGAGCUCUCGAAUUGCUUCCCACUGGGCAAGUUGCGGCGGAGGUUGAAGGCGGAGCCACCGCUACGCCGGCGGAAUGCAGCGGUG
rnacentral:lncRNA from 1 species